UAAUACGUAGGGUGCAAGCGUUAUCCGGAAUCACUGGGCGUAAAGCGUGCGUAGGUGGUUUGUUAAGUGUGGUGUUAAAUCGUGGGGCUCAACCCCGUCGAUGCAUCACAUACUGGCAGACUAGAGGACGGCAGAGGCAAGUGGAAUUGGUAGUGUAGCAGUGAAAUGCGUAGAUAUUACCAGGAACACCAAUGGCGAAGGCAGCUUGCUGGGCCACUCCUGACACUGAGGUACGAAAGCGUGGGGAGCGAACAGGAUUAGAUACCCUGGUAGUCCACGCCGUAAACGAUGCAUACUAGACGUAUGGGGUAUCGACCCCCUGUGCGUCGAAGCUAACGCGUUAAGUAUGCCGCCUGGGAAGUACGGCCGCAAGGCUA
rnacentral:rRNA from 1 species